rnacentral:miRNA from 1 species
UAUUCUGUUCACGUUGACAGCAACUGUGAGCACUCUGCUUAAUAAUGACUAGCAAGUGCUUGCUGUUGUUGUGAACGUGAAUCAGUCCC